GAGAAAAGGAAACACAACCUGUUGCCGGUCUCAUCAUUCUCCUGUUCUUUUUCAGCAACGCACCAUCGAUACUAAUUACACCACAAAUCUGGCGACGAGGAUUUCGGGACGUGAUGCGGGCCGGUCUCAACGUUCCAGCACGGGCACGGUCGACCUGAUUUCCGCUCCGUUGGUUGAUAAAGGUGAGAAUGUAGAAAGAGAAGUAAGAAACCUCGAUGGAUGUCAGAGCGGACCUGUCUCACUCCCCCAACGAGCUACAGAACCAGUGAUGGACAAUACCAGACCCUGAACUACAGGACCUCAAUCCAACAGACACAGUAUUCAGCGCUCCACUUUGGCCCCAUCCCCCACAUACUUGCAUCAGAAACACAUCUGGAGUUGGAGCAGCAGAAAAGGAGGGGUGACAGAUUUGCAACUGCCCAUGAUUGAGUGGUUGAAGCGGACACCCAGAUGGUUUUCAGGGCAUGAUCAGAGACUGACAUUAAAGAAGCAAUGUCAUACAUGCCCACAAAGUACUUUGUUGAACAUUCACAGAUGAACUGAAGUUUGAGGAGUUCAGCCCAACUUCACCUGGACUCAGAAGAUGUAUGAUGUUGAAAUUGAUAAAGACCUUUACAGAUCAGUGCUGACAAUAGAACAAAGUGAGGCAGUGAUCACUCAGGAGGGUGAUUAUUGCAUCAGAGAUGAAGAUGAACGAAUAAUAGAGAGAAGACAAGCAGAAACGACCAAAGAUGAAUCCAAACUCCAAAAGUAAGAAGAAAACGACACGUCUGGAAACUAAUGGUAAAGUGAGGUUCAGAAGGAUGGAGUUUGAAGAUGAUGAUGAUCAGAGUGAUUCAGAAGAGAUCAUGGGUGAAUAUGAUCCUGUGAUCAGAAGGAGGCUGGCCAGAGCGGUGAAAAGAGGUGAUGAAAAAUGGAGAAAACAAAAAGAUACAAGAGAUCACACUUCUGAUGAAAGUAAAGAUGAAGACAGUGAUGAAGAUUUGGAGAGGAGAGGAGCUACGGGAUUUCAUCCUGCAGCGUCUAGCAUAGAAGAGAUUGAAAGAGACAUGGAGCGAUUGGAAGAGCAAUACAAGAAGCUGAAGAUACAGAGAGACAAAUCGCUGAAAAAAGGAUCCCAAAAAGUGGAGAGAAAGUCAAGAAAAGGGAAGACAAGUGAAAAGAUGCUUUCAGUGCUAAUUCAAGAACAGAAUAUGUCAGAUAUUCUUGAUAAGUUACCUGUUCUUCAAGAUGGAGCACAUCCUUGGAUCCUAAAGUUGGAAGAAAUUAUGGUGGGAAAACAGUAUGCCAUGGGAGACAUUAAGAGACUUUUGACGAAUCUUAUUGGGAUUCCGGCAAUGGAAGAAAUUCUACAGAAAGCUAGACUUAAUCGAUAUGUGGGAACUGUUAUAUAUGAUCCUGAACUGCCGCAAAUAAAGGUUGAUUGUGGAGAGCACUGAAAGAUAUGUUUCCAACAAAUGUGCAUCCGGACAAUAUUCUAAUUGAGCCACUGAAACAAGAAGAAAAACCAAGAGCUUAUGUGUCGAGAGCUUAUCAGGUGUGGAGAAAUAUUACCGGAAAUGAUCCAGAUGUGAGUCAAGUGGAGCAGUCAAUUUUGCGAGCCAAACUACAGAAGGGGCUGCCCGCACCAGUGAGGAGCAAACUGGAAGAGGUGGUUGGACUUGGAAGCAUGGCAAAAAAUGUCUAUGCAGAUCAUGUAGCUCACCAAGUAGAGCUAUAUAGGAAAAAGGAACAUGAGCAGAAAGAACAAGACCAAGAAACUCCCAGAAAAUUCAAUCAAAUGCAGCUGGUGGAAGAUAAGAAGGACAAGAAGCAAGCACUGGUUAUGCAAAAUCAGUGUUCACCAAAUCAACAGUCACCAUUAGUGAUUCCAGUUGUUCAGAACUGGAGAGGAAGAGGAAGAGGACGAGCUGGAAGAUAUGAUCCAUAUUUUAUAUCUUCACAAGCGUGUUUCAAUUGUGGACAGGAUAGCCACUUUGCCCGUGAUUGCAAUAUACCAGGAUGGAAUCCUAGAGGAAAUUACAGAAAAGGAUUCAGGGGCCAGUUAAGGCCAUUUGGAGGACCGAUGAACCCUCAUAGGAGUCUGGAGCCAGGAUUCUAGAGGUGCCCAGAAGAUCUGAAAGGAGGUGUCAUCAGGGCCAGAAAGAAAUCUAACAAUUGAGGACAAGGACAGUCACAAGUUGGUACAGAUCCCCACAGAUGAGCGUGGACAUCAGCUGACUGACCAGAGAAGGAGGGGAGAGAGACCGGAUUUACUCUGGCGCAUCGACGCAUCAACGCAUAAUGACGAAUAGAAAGUAGGUAAUGCACUGGCAACACACAUUUUGAAAAUACAUAUACUCUAAAGAAGUAAUUGGUUCUACUUUUAAAAUAGAGUUACUCUUAUGUGAACACGUCUAUAUGAAGGGUUAAGAUAUGCCUCUAAAUUAAGCAACUUGGUAUGAAAUCUUAUAUUUUGUCAGUACCUGGUGAUAUGCAUUCUAUUAAAUUUUAAAUGACCUGUGACAGUUUCUAACACGAUUAGUGACAAACAUGUUAUUUCAGUUGGUGUGUUAGGAAAUGUUAAAAGAACAUUUCCUCGUUUUAUUUUUGUGCUCCAAUGACAUAAGCAACUUUUGAAUAUACUUCUAUUAUUUGAGUGCUGCUCAGAUAAUUUAUUGGGAAGUGAUCUAAUGUAUAAAUUUGAAUUGGAUUAAUGUAAAGUUGUUAAAAACAGCAGCUUGAGAGUGCUGUUCUCAAAAUUGGGUUAAGAAUAAGCUUAGAACAAUUGUGUGACUAUUAGUGAAAAUAGCCUGACAUUAACAUCAGUAAACUGUUCUUGGAUGUAGUUUGUAAAUGUACCUUUUAUCUAUAACACAAAAAGAAGGGCAAGGUGUAUCACGAGUGUCAUUAGGACCAUAUGGAAUACAUGAAAACAGUAGCAGUAUAAUGUGAGAAAAGAUAAGACAACUUCCACUCACAGAUAUAUCUUGGUCAAAUGAAAAGUUUUUACAUUGGUUAAUUUGUUGUUUACAGUGUACCAGUAAUCUGUUCAUAUCAUUCUUUCUAAGUACAGAUUCGCGAACGGAAAUCAGUUAUCACAGCCCAAUGAUGGAUCAGCAUCUUUUGUCAAUUAUAUAGAGGUUUAGAAAUCUGAUUUGAAUUUCACUAUUCUGCAUAAGUUGCAGUGGUGUUACUGAAGCCUGCCUGGUUAGAAGGUAAAAUAACUUACGAAGACUCCAGAGUGGAGCUGUGCAAUUCAUUGAAUUUUAAUAGAGAUUACAAUUUUGGCUUAUUAAUUACAGAAACAAUGUUAAGGGAGAGGAACGAUUGUUCUGCACAUUACAUUUGCGAGUAGACUUGGUAUGAAGAGUUUAGGAUAAAUUUCACAGUUUAAGAUGUUACAUUGAUGUGUUGAGAUGUUAGUUUAAGUAUCAGUCUAAAUUUCAAUGAUGGUUUGCAUUGAGCAAUGAGAAUUCAGUAUUGACUAAUAUAUGCAUGGUUAUAAUUUUAUGAUGUGGCAAGGUGGCUAUGUUACUUUUCGGCCUCAGUCCAGUUCAUACAGGAAUGUCAAGUAGAUGAGGUUGAAAGAAGGGGUGUAUAACAUAAGGAGAUCUAUUACACCCACUAUCUGUUAAAUAAACAGUGAAGAGAGACAAUGCACGCUUUCGUAAUCUUGAAUCCUAUCAUUUGAGGAUAAAUCUAGGAGUAUUGUUGAAAAGAUAUCCAUUUUUAUUUGCUUUUGCCGUCAUUUUCACAUUUCUUUGAAUAUUGUUUAGUGUUUUUUAUUCAUCAAAGGGGGGAAAUGGAAUGUGAUUCAUGUGAUUCCUAUGUGAUUCAUAUCAUUCAUAUUAUUUUUGAUUCAUUCAUAGUAAUUUUGAUAUUUUAUUUGAUGUUUUCUUUUAUGUGUUGUUUUGCAAAGAUACUGGUUGGUGUUCUCUUUUCUUCCAGAAGCAUAUGGGGUAAAUACUUGAAUAUGGACAAUAAAAAUGGACUGGAGGAUUUUGAACAAGGAUAUAGUGAUGAAAUGUUCAGAUUCCAUCGACGCUACAUUGAACGUUCGACACUGCGAAGGAGCUGCAGUGGAUAUAUUCUUUGUGUCAUAUUCGUUUUGUAUUAAAACUGUUUGAAGAAGAAUUUUUUGUUGUGGGAUACACAUGGAGACCUCAGAUGUUUUUAUGUUUUUCUUGACGCUUAGGGACAGCGGGGUCUAGGUAAGGCGAGGUCCUUUUACAGAUCCGAUGAUUUGAUCAGUCUGAAUUGGGACAUUGUUUUGAUUUUAUUUUGAUUCUGAGGCUGUCAUGUGUAUUCGAGUACACCAAGACAUUACAUGGAUUGAUAAAAAGAUUUUUAAUUGAUCUGGAGUGCCAAGGUGGUCGCCUAGGGCAGAGGGGCCGUGAGAGAAUUUUCCUGUCUAGAUUGAUUGAUGGAUAUUUGGAAAGAAGCUGCCAGAAAGGUUUUUCGCUCUCACACUCCAUAAAAUGUUUGUUUACAUUUCCUAAUAUUGUUCACACUCUAUGAAAACUUGUUAUUUUGUCAUAAUCUUACUCUUUUUGUUUCGAGACUUAAUUAGUCUCGAAGGGGGGAAAUAUGAGGUAUAUGGCCAUCUUAUUGUAUCUGCAUAUUCUAUAUGAUUUGUAUGUAAGCUUUGGGUAACAAAGAAACCCAGAUGAACUUUAGCCUACUUUCAGAAGACACAUCUGGAAAAAGCAUUAUCAAUGGACUCUUAGACAGAGCCAGUUGGCAUGAAGCCAUUGGUCAGUUAUUGAUCACACCCCAAUUCAUGGAAUAUACACAUGUGGCACACACACAAAGAACUUUAGAGUGACUUUUGAGAAUCUGGGAAACUGGUCGCUCUCCGGGCUCU